rnacentral:rRNA from 1 species
GCCCUACGGGUGGCUGCAGUGGGGAAUAUUGGACAAUGGGCGAAAGCCUGAUCCAGCAAUGCCGCGUGAGUGAUGAAGGCCUUAGGGUUGUAAAGCUCUUUUACCCGGGAUGAUAAUGACAGUACCGGGAGAAUAAGCUCCGGCUAACUCCGUGCCAGCAGCCGCGGUAAUACGGAGGGAGCUAGCGUUGUUCGGAAUUACUGGGCGUAAAGCGCACGUAGGCGGCUUUGUAAGUUAGAGGUGAAAGCCUGGAGCUCAACUCCAGAAUUGCCUUUAAGACUGCAUCGCUUGAAUCCGGGAGAGGUGAGUGGAAUUCCGAGUGUAGAGGUGAAAUUCGUAGAUAUUCGGAAGAACACCAGUGGCGAAGGCGGCUCACUGGACCGGUAUUGACGCUGAGGUGCGAAAGCGUGGGGAGCAAACAGGAUUAGAUACCCGGGUAGUC